GACGAACGCUGGCGGCGUGCCUAACACUUGCAAGUCGAGCGAUGAAGCCCUUCGUGGUGGAUUAGCGGCGGACGGGUGAGUAACACGCGGGUAACCUGCAUCAAAGAGGGGGAUAGCCUCCCGAAAGGGAGAUUAAUACCGCAUAACAUUAGUUUUUCGCAUGAAGAACUAAUUAAAGGAGUAAUCCGCUUUGAGAUGGACCGGCGGCGCAUUUGCUAGUUGGUGAGGUAAAGGCUCACCAAGGCGACGAUGCGUAGCCGACCUGAGAGGGUGAUCGGCCACAUUGGAACUGAGACACGGUCCAGACUCCUACGGGAGGCAGCAGUGGGGAAUAUUGCACAAUGGGCGAAAGCCUGAUGCAGCAACGCCGCGUGAGUGAUGAAGGCCUUCGGGUUGUAAAGCUCUGUCUUUUGGGACGAUAAUGACGGUACCAAAGGAGGAAGCCACGGCUAACUACGUGCCAGCCGCCGCUGUAACAC
rnacentral:rRNA from 1 species